CAUAGAUAGCCAACUAACAAUAAAAAUAAAUAAACAAAAGUCUAUCAAAGCAUUAAUAUCUGGUCUUAAUUUUGGCCGGAAUUUGGUGAUGAUGGUCUAUUGUUGCCAUAAUCAAAGUUCAGUGAUUUAUAAAAUAUAAAUGACUUUUAACGACGUCAAUGGAUAUUAGUGGCAAUUUCAGUGAAUCUACUCCAUGUUUUGAUUGAAAGUGUGAUUUAAAUAAUGCCAAUGGAUAUGGACAAACUGCUAAG
rnacentral:misc_RNA from 1 species